rnacentral:rRNA from 1 species
AUCGCUUAUGCGGGUGCUAUACAUGCAGUCGAGCGAGCAAUUUUGACGGAAUACUUCGGUAGGAAGUCAGAAGCGCGAGCGGCGGAUGGGUGAGUAACACGUGGGCAACCUGCCCUUUAGCUUGGGAUACCACUUGGAAACAGGUGCUAAUACCAAAUAAGCAGCACGAGCGCAUGCUCGAGCUGAGAAAGGCGGCUUUCGAGCUGUCACUAAAGGAUGGGCCCGCGGUGCAUUAGCUAGUUGGUAAGGUAACGGCUUACCAAGGCGAUGAUGCAUAGCCGAGUUGAGAGACUGACCGGCCACAUUGGGACUGAGACACGGCCCAAACUCCUACGGGAGGCAGCAGUAGGGAAUCUUCCACAAUGGACGCAAGUCUGAUGGAGCAACGCCGCGUGAGUGAAGAAGGUUUUCGGAUCGUAAAGCUCUGUUGUUGGUGAAGAAGGACAAGGGUAGUAACUGAUUCUUGUUUGACGGUAAUCAACCAGAAAGUCACGGCUAACUACGUGCCAGCAGCCGCGGUAAUACGUAGGUGGCAAGCGUUGUCCGGAUUUAUUGGGCGUAAAGCGAACGCAGGCGGGAGAAUAAGUCAGCUGUGAAAGCCCCCAGCUUAACUGGGGAACUGCAACUGAAACUAUUUUUCUUGAGUGCAGAAGAGGAGAGUGGAACUCCAUGUGUAGCGGUGGAAUGCGUAGAUAUAUGGAAGAACACCAGUGGCGAAGGCGGCUCUCUGGUCUGUAACUGACGCUGAGGUUCGAAAGCAUGGGUAGCGAACAGGAUUAGAUACCCUGGUAGUCCAUGCCGUAAACGAUGAGUGCUAAGUGUUGGGAGGUUUCCGCCUCUCAGUGCUGCAGCUAACGCAUUAAGCACUCCGCCCUGGGGAGUACGACCGCAAGGUUAAAACUCAAAGGAAUUGACGGGGGCCCGCACAAGCGGUGGAGCAUGUGGUUUAAUUCGAAGCAACGCGAGACCUUACCAGUCUUGACAUCUAGUGCAGUCUAGAAGAUAGGAUGUUUCUUCGGACACUAAGACAGUGGUGCAUGCUGUCGUCAGCUCGUGUCGUGAAGAUUGUUGGGUUAAGUCCCGCACGAGCGCACCUUAUUAUUAGUGCAGCAUAAGUGGGCACUCUAUGAAACUGCGGUGACAACCGAAGAAGGGGGGGACNNNNCAGUCAANAUGCCCUUAUAGACUGGCUAACACCUGUCUCACAUGGUGUUGUUACACCAGANG